GCUACAGAUGUAGUAAAUACAGACUCACACAGCCUCUCAUCCAGCCCUCAGACAAGGACCUAAACUCACACUAUUACAAUCAAGGACUCCAUCCAUAACUUAAAUCACUGCACCUGGGAUCACGACGGUUCUCUGCCUUACUACUAUGGCUGUUCCAGGUAUGGUGGAAAUUACUCACCUGAAGGACCAUAAAGAUGUACUUGUGGCUUGCUGAGGGGAAAUCUGAAAAUCACUUUCUUUUUGAAUUUGUUGUUUUUAAAUGGAAUUCAUUAAUUCUUUUGCCUCACUGUCACACUGGGAAACUGAUGGUCCAAUUUCUUUGUGCUCACUGAUUCACACCACAACUUCAGCAGCAACAGAUGAGCUCAGCAACAGCAUCACUGAAGUCACCACAAGUAUUUCAUGAGUAUGGCUUAAAU
rnacentral:lncRNA from 1 species